rnacentral:rRNA from 1 species
GCCUGAAUCAGUGUGUGUGUUAGUGGAAGCGUCUGGAAAGGCGCGCGAUACAGGGUGACAGCCCCGUACACAAAAAUGCACAUAUUGUGAGCUCGAUGAGUAGGGCGGGACACGUGGUAUCCUGUCUGAAUAUGGGGGGACCAUCCUCCAAGGCUAAAUACUCCUGACUGACCGAUAGUGAACCAGUACCGUGAGGGAAAGGCGAAAAGAACCCCGGCGAGGGGAGUGAAAAAGAACCUGAAACCGUGUACGUACAAGCAGUGGGAGCCUCUUAAUGGGGUGACUGCGUACCUUUUGUAUAAUGGGUCAGCGACUUAUAUUCUGUAGCAAGGUUAACCGAAUAGGGGAGCCGAAGGGAAACCGAGUCUUAACUGGGCGUUAAGUUGCAGGGUAUAGACCCGAAACCCGGUGAUCUAGCCAUGGGCAGGUUGAAGGUUGGGUAACACUAACUGGAGGACCGAACCGACUAAUGUUGAAAAAUUAGCGGAUGACUUGUGGCUGGGGGUGAAAGGCCAAUCAAACCGGGAGAUAGCUGGUUCUCCCCGAAAGCUAUUUAGGUAGCGCCUCGUGAAUUCAUCUCCGGGGGUAGAGCACUGUUUCGGCAAGGGGGUCAUCCCGACUUACCAACCCGAUGCAAACUGCGAAUACCGGAGAAUGUUAUCAUGGGAGACACACGGCGGGUGCUAACGUCCGUCGUGAAGAGGGAAACAACCCAGACCGCCAGCUAAGGUCCCAAAGUCAUGGUUAAGUGGGAAACGAUGUGGGAAGGCCCAGACAGCCAGGAUGUUGGCUUAGAAGCAGCCAUCAUUUAAAGAAAGCGUAAUAGCUCACUGGUCGAGUCGGCCUGCGCGGAAGAUGUAACGGGGCUAAACCAUGCACCGAAGCUGCGGCAGCGACACUAUGUGUUGUUGGGUAGGGGAGCGUUCUGUAAGCCUGUGAAGGUGGCCUGUGAGGGUUGCUGGAGGUAUCAGAAGUGCGAAUGCUGACAUAAGUAACGAUAAAGCGGGUGAAAAGCCCGCUCGCCGGAAGACCAAGGGUUCCUGUCCAACGUUAAUCGGGGCAGGGUGAGUCGACCCCUAAGGCGAGGCCGAAAGGCGUAGUCGAUGGGAAACAGGUUAAUAUUCCUGUACUUGGUGUUACUGCGAAGGGGGGACGGAGAAGGCUAUGUUGGCCGGGCGACGGUUGUCCCGGUUUAAGCGUGUAGGCUGGUUUUCCAGGCAAAUCCGGAAAACCAAGGCUGAGGCGUGAUGACGAGGCACUACGGUGCUGAAGCGACAAAUGCCCUGCUUCCAGGAAAAGCCUCUAAGCAUCAGGUAACAUCAAAUCGUACCCCAAACCGACACAGGUGGUCAGGUAGAGAAUACCAAGGCGCUUGAGAGAACUCGGGUGAAGGAACUAGGCAAAAUGGUGCCGUAACUUCGGGAGAAGGCACGCUGAUAUGUAGGUGAAGCGACUUGCUCGUGGAGCUGAAAUCAGUCGAAGAUACCAGCUGGCUGCAACUGUUUAUUAAAAACACAGCACUGUGCAAACACGAAAGUGGACGUAUACGGUGUGACGCCUGCCCGGUGCCGGAAGGUUAAUUGAUGGGGUUAGCGGUAACGCGAAGCUCUUGAUCGAAGCCCCGGUAAACGGCGGCCGUAACUAUAACGGUCCUAAGGUAGCGAAAUUCCUUGUCGGGUAAGUUCCGACCUGCACGAAUGGCGUAAUGAUGGCCAGGCUGUCUCCACCCGAGACUCAGUGAAAUUGAACUCGCUGUGAAGAUGCAGUGUACCCGCGGCAAGACGGAAAGACCCCGUGAACCUUUACUAUAGCUUGACACUGAACAUUGAGCCUUGAUGUGUAGGAUAGGUGGGAGGCUUUGAAGUGUGGACGCCAGUCUGCAUGGAGCCGGCCUUGAAAUACCACCCUUUAAUGUUUGAUGUUCUAACGUGGGCCCCUUACCGGGGUUGCGGACAGUGUCUGGUGGGUAGUUUGACUGGGGCGGUCUCCUCCUAAAGAGUAACGGAGGAGCACGAAGGUUGGCUAAUCCUGGUCGGACAUCAGGAGGUUAGUGCAAUGGCAUAAGCCAGCUUGACUGCGAGCGUGACGGCGCGAGCAGGUGCGAAAGCAGGUCAUAGUGAUCCGGUGGUUCUGAAUGGAAGGGCCAUCGCUCAACGGAUAAAAGGUACUCCGGGGAUAACAGGCUGAUACCGCCCAAGAGUUCAUAUCGACGGCGGUGUUUGGCACCUCGAUGU